GGUACUAUUGUGUAGCGGUUAUCACGUCUGCUUUACAUGCAGAGGGUCCUGGGUUCGAGCCCCAGUGGAACCA
rnacentral:tRNA from 1 species